rnacentral:rRNA from 1 species
GACGAACGCUGGCGGCGUGCUUAACACAUGCAAGUCGAACGGAAAGGCCCUGCUUUUGUGGGGUGCUCGAGUGGCGAACGGGUGAGUAACACGUAAGUAACCUGCCCUUGACUUUGGGAUAACUUCAGGAAACUGGGGCUAAUACCGGAUAGGAGCUCCUGCUGCAUGGUGGGGGUUGGAAAGUUUCGGCGGUUGGGGAUGGACUCGCGGCUUAUCAGCUUGUUAGUGGGGUAGUGGCUUACCAAGGCUUUGACGGGUAGCCGGCCUGAGAGGGUGACCGGCCACAUUGGGACUGAGAUACGGCCCAGACUCCUACGGGAGGCAGCAGUGGGGAAUAUUGCACAAUGGGCGGAAGCCUGAUGCAGCAACGCCGCGUGCGGGAUGACGGCCUUCGGGUUGUAAACCGCUUUCGCCUGUGACGAAGCGUGAGUGACGGUAAUGGGUAAAGAAGCACCGGCUAACUACGUG